rnacentral:rRNA from 1 species
GGAAUCUUCCACAAUGGGCGCAAGCCUGAUGGAGCAACACCGCGUGAGUGAAGAAGGGUUUCGGCUCGUAAAGCUCUGUUGUUAAAGAAGAACACGUAUGAGAGUAACUGUUCAUACGUUGACGGUAUUUAACCAGAAAGUCACGGCUAAAUACGUGCCAG